UACGGAGGAUGCAAGCGUUAUCCGGAUUCAUUGGGUUUAAAGGGUGCGUAGGCGGGCUAUUAAGUCAGUGGUGAAAUCCUGCAGCUUAACUGCAGAACUGCCGUUGAUACUGAUAGUCUUGAGUUUGGUUAAGGUAGGCGGAAUGUGUAAUGUAGCGGUGAAAUGCUUAGAUAUUACACAGAACACCAAUUGCGAAGGCAGCUUGCUGGGCCAUUACUGACGCUGAUGCACGAAAGCGUGGGAGCGACAGGA
rnacentral:rRNA from 1 species